AUUGAACGCUGGCGGCAGGCUUAACACAUGCAAGUCGAGCGGAGAUGAGGUGCUUGCACCUUAUCUUAGCGGCGGACGGGCGAGUAAUGCUUAGGAAUCUGCCUAUUAGUGGGGGACAACAUUCCGAAAGGAAUGCUAAUACCGCAUACGUCCUACGGGAGAAAGCAGGGGAUCUUCGGACCUUGCGCUAAUAGAUGAGCCUAAGUCGGAUUAGCUAGUUGUUGGGGUAAAGGCCUACCAAGGCGACGAUCUGUAGCGGGGCUGAGAGGAUGAACCGCCAAACUGGGACUGAGACACGGCCCAGACUCCUACGGGAGGCAGCAGAGGGGAAUAUUGGACAAUGGGGGGAACCCUGAUCCAGCCAUGCCGCGUGUGUGAAGGAGGCCUUAUGGUUGUAAAGCACUUUAAGCGAGGAGGAGGCUACUGAGACUAAUACUCUUGGAUAGUGGACGUUACUCGCAGAAUAAGCACCGGCUAACUCUGUGCCAGCCGCCGCAGUAACAC
rnacentral:rRNA from 1 species